rnacentral:rRNA from 1 species
CGUAGGGUGCGAGCGUUAAUCGGAAUUACUGGGCGUAAAGCGUGCGCAGGCGGUUUUGUAAGACAGAUGUGAAAUCCCCGGGCUCAACCUGGGACCUGCAUUUGUGACUGCAAGGCUAGAGUACGGUAGAGGGGGAUGGAAUUCCGCGUGUAGCAGUGAAAUGCGUAGAUAUGCGGAGGAACACCGAUGGCGAAGGCAAUCCCCUGGACCUGUACUGACGCUCAUGCACGAAAGCGUGGGGAGCAAACAGGGUUAGAUACCCUGGUAGUCCACGCCCUAAACGAUGUCAACUGGUUGUUGGGUCUUUACUGACUCAGUAACGAAGCUAACGCGUGAAGUUGACCGCCUGGGGAGUACGGCCGCAAGGUUG